rnacentral:rRNA from 1 species
AGCCUACGGGACGCAGCAGUGGGGGAUAUUGCACAAUGGGGGGAACCCUGAUGCAGCGACGCGGCGUGGGCGAUGGAGUGCUUCGGCAUGUAAAGCCCUAUCAGCAGGGAAGAAAAUGACGGUACCUGACUAAGAAGCCCCGGCUAAAUACGUGCCAGCAGCCGCGGAAAUACGUAUGGGGCAAGCGUUAUCCGGAUUUACUGGGUGUAAAGGGUGCGUAGGUGGCAGGGCAAGUCAGAUGUGAAAGCCCGGGG